UACUGGGAUCUUCACUCCAUAUUUACUCCCCACUUAAACUACAGAAGACGUUGACACACGUAUCGCGUGGGCACCUGCUCCUCCAAGGCUUUUCAUCACUGUUCCAUCACAUCAAAAGCAGAAGUGAGGGGCUGAGGGCCACGCCCACAGAGAAGGGUCAUAUAGAGACAGAGCUCACAGACCCCGGAGGAGCGGCCAGCAGAUGAUUAGUUGAGGUGACCUGCAAGAACCUGCAGAUGCAUCAUGGAGCAAAAAAUCUAUGAGACAGUUUCCAACGUGCAACAGGAGAUGCAUAAAAUCCAGCAGCAAGGCAGCUUCCCAGCCGAGGUGUUUAAAAGUGGGAUGGCUCCCAGUAACCGGGAAAUGAUAGUCCAGUGUGACCUUGAAGAACAAGCUGGAAGACAGACCCCCCAGAAAGCAGGUCAGGGGACAGCACGUUGCUAUCUGUAUAUCUUGGGCACCAUCUGUGUGGUGCUGCUGAUCGCUGGGGUGUGUGUAGGGAUAUCCAUGUGUGAGUCACAACAUGCUUAUUAUUUAUAGACUUAGAUUUAGAAUGAAUUCUAAACAGCAGGGUUGAUGCAGCAUACAGACAGUUUCUUAAACUGUGGGUUUAAUACAUGUGGGAUUUCCGGUGAAACAGGCAUAAAUCUGCCCAGUUCAAUCUAACCCCAGAGACUUUUAUGCUUUAGUUCAAGUAGCAAAUUCAAGCAAAAAGAUUUUUUUGUCGGUGUUCCUGUUAUUCAUUUCAGAAUUCCCAAACCUUAUUACUUGUGUGCAAGGUAAAAAGUACUAACUAAAAUGUUUAAAAUACUAUUAAAUGCUUGAGGAUUCUGAACCAAACCUUAAAAUCAUAAUGUCAAAAUCAUGAGUUAUGUAUCUGGUGGUCUUGAAGGGCUGACCUGGGAGACCCCAUGCUGG